rnacentral:rRNA from 1 species
GGUUGAUCCUGCCGGAGGCCACUGCUAUCGGGGUCCGACUAAGCCAUGCGAGUCAAGGGGCUCCCUUCGGGGAGCACCGGCGCACGGCUCAGUAACACGUGGCUAACCUACCCUCGGGUGGGGGAUAACCUCGGGAAACUGAGGCUAAUCCCCCAUAGGGGAGGAGGUCUGGAAUGAUCCCUCCCCGAAAGGCGUAAGCCGCCCGAGGAUGGGGCUGCGGCGGAUUAGGUAGUUGGUGGGGUAACGGCCCACCAAGCCUACGAUCCGUACGGGCCCUGAGAGGGGGAGCCCGGAGAUGGACACUGAGACACGGGUCCAGGCCCUACGGGGCGCAGCAGGCGCGAAACCUCCGCAAUGCGCGAAAGCGCGACGGGGGGACCCCGAGUGCCCACGCUCUGCGUGGGCUUUUCCGGAGUGUAAACAGCUCCGGGAAUAAGGGCUGGGCAAGUCCGGUGCCAGCAGCCGCGGUAAUACCGGCGGCCCGAGUGGUGGCCACUGUUAUUGGGCCUAAAGCGUCCGUAGCCGGCCCGGUAAGUCUCUGCUUAAAUCCUGCGGCUCAACCGCAGGGCUGGCAGAGAUACUGCCGGGCUUGGGACCGGGAGAGGCCGGGGGUACCCCAGGGGUAGCGGUGAAAUGCGUUGAUCCCUGGGGGACCACCUGUGGCGAAGGCGCCCGGCUGGAACGGGUCCGACGGUGAGGGACGAAGGCCGGGGGAGCAAACCGGAUUAGAUACCCGGGUAGUCCCGGCUGUAAACUCUGCGGACUAGGUGUCGCGUCGGCUUCGGGCCGACGCGGUGCCGAAGGGAAGCCGUUAAGUCCGCCGCCUGGGGAGUACGGUCGCAAGACUGAAACUUAAAGGAAUUGGCGGGGGAGCACUACAACGGGUGGAGCCUGCGGUUUAAUUGGAUUCAACGCCGGGCAUCUUACCAGGGGCGACGGCAGGAUGAAGGCCAGGUUGACGACCUUGCCAGACGCGCCGAGAGGUGGUGCAUGGCCGUCGUCAGCUCGUACCGUGAGGCGUCCUGUUAAGUCAGGUAACGAGCGAGACCCGUGCCCCAUGUUGCUACCCUCCCCUCCGGGGGAGGGGCACUCAUGGGGGACCGCCGGCGCUAAGCCGGAGGAAGGUGCGGGCAACGACAGGUCCGCAUGCCCCGAAUCCCCUGGGCUACACGCGGGCUACAAUGGCCGGGACAAUGGGACGCGACCCCGAAAGGGGGAGCGAAUCCCCUAAACCCGGUCGUAGUCCGGAUCGAGGGCUGUAACUCGCCCUCGUGAAGCCGGAAUCCGUAGUAAUCGCGCCUCACCAUGGCGCGGUGAAUGCGUCCCUGCUCCUUGCACACACCGCCCGUCACGCCACCCGAGUUGAGCCCAAGUGAGGCCCUGUCCGUAAGGGCAGGGUCGAACUUGGGUUCAGCGAGGGGGGCGAAGUCGUAACAAGGUAGCCGUAGGGGAACCUGCGGCUGGAUCACCUCCUGAGAAAAAAGCGCUGGUUGCUGUGGGGCACCAAACCAGUCGUGGGCUUGCCUCAUAGGGAAAGUGGGCCCGUAGCUCAGCUGGGAGAGCGCCGGCCUUGCAAGCCGGAGGCCGUGGGUUCAAAUCCCACCGGGUCCACUAUAUAUGCAACCUGCAACUCUAAAGAGUUGCAGGUGAAGGGCCUGAAAAACAUGAGGGCCAUGCAUAGGCUUCCACAUCCCGGUGAAAUCUGGAUACUCUGCCGGGCCACCAGCCCACCUGGUGGAUGGCUCGGCUCGGGGCGCCGAGGAAGGGCGUG